rnacentral:rRNA from 1 species
ACGGAAGGCAGCAGUGGGGAAUAUUGGGCAAUGGGCGAAAGCCUGACCCAGCAAUGCCGCGUGAAGGAAGAAGGUCUUCGGAUUGUAAACUUCUUUUAUGAGGGACGAAGGAAUUGACGGUACCUCAUGAAUAAGCCACGGCUAACUACGUGCCAGCAGCCGCGGUAAUACGUAGGUGGCAAGCGUUAUCCGGAUUUACUGGGUGUAAAGGGCGCGUAGGCGGGGAAGCAAGUCAGAUGUGAAAUCUAUGGGCUUAACUCAUAAACUGCAUUUGAAACUGUUUCUCUUGAGUGCUGGAGAGGUAGAUGGAAUUCCUAGUGUAGCGGUGAAAUGCGUAGAUAUUAGGAAGAACACCAGUGGCGAAGGCGGCUUGCUGGGCUUUUACUGACGCUGAGGCUCGAAAGCGUGGGGAGCAAACAGGAUUAGAUACCCUGGUA